UACGUAGGGUGCGAGCGUUGUCCGGAAUUAUUGGGCGUAAAGAGCUCGUAGGCGGUCUGUCGCGUCGGUCGUGAAAACUUGGGGCUUAACCCUGAGCUUGCGGUCGAUACGGGCAGACUGGAGGUAUGCAGGGGAGAACGGAAUUCCUGGUGUAGCGGUGAAAUGCGCAGAUAUCAGGAGGAACACCGAUGGCGAAGGCAGAUCUCUGGGCCGUAACUGACGCUGAGGCGCGAAAGCUAGGGGAGCAAACAGG
rnacentral:rRNA from 1 species